AUUGAACGCUGGCGGCAGGCCUAACACAUGCAAGUCGAACGAGUGGCGGAUGUGUGAGUAAUGUCUGGGAAACUGCCUGUUGGAGGGGGAUAACUACUGGAAACGGUAGCUAAUACCGCAUACCAUCGGAUGUGCCCAGCUGGUAUUAGCUAGUAGGUGGGGUAAAGGCUCACCUAGGCGACGAUCCCUAGCUGGUCUGAGAGGAUGACCGGCAACACUGGAACUGUGACACGGUCCAGACUCCAACGGGAGGAGGCAGUGGGGAAUAUUGCACAAGGGGCGAAAGCCUGAUGCGGCAAGGCGGCGUGUAUGAAGAAGGCCUUCGGGUUGUAAAGUACUUUCAGCGGGGAGGCGUUACCCGAAGAAGAAGCACCGGCUAACUCCGUGCCAGCAGCCGCGGUAAUAC
rnacentral:rRNA from 1 species